UUCCGUAGGGUGAACCUGCGGAAGGAUCAUUACUGAGUGCGGGCUGCCUUCGGGCGCCCAACCUCCCACCCGUGACUACCUAACACUGUUGCUUCGGCGGGGAGCCCUCUCGGGGGCGCGCCGCCGGGGACUACUGAACUUCAUGCCUGAGAGUGAUGCAGUCUGAGUCUGAAUAUAAAAUCAGUCAAAACUUUCAACAAUGGAUCUCUUGGUUCCGGCAUCGAUGAAGAACGCAGCGAACUGCGAUAAGUAAUGUGAAUUGCAGAAUUCAGUGAAUCAUCGAGUCUUUGAACGCACAUUGCGCCCCCUGGCAUUCCGGGGGGCAUGCCUGUCCGAGCGUCAUUGCUGCCCAUCAAGCCCGGCUUGUGUGUUGGGUCGUCGUCCCCCCCGGGGGACGGGCCCGAAAGGCAGCGGCGGCACCGUGUCCGGUCCUCGAGCGUAUGGGGCUUUGUCACCCGCUCGAUUUAGGGCCGGCCGGGCGCCAGCCGACGUCCAACCAUUUUUCUUCAGGUUGACCUCGGAUCAGGUAGGGAUACCCGCUGAACUUAAGCAUAUCAAUAAGCCGGAGGAA
rnacentral:misc_RNA from 1 species